CUCAAGCUCACCAUGUAUCUGAGGAUGA
rnacentral:piRNA from 1 species